AGUCGAACGGNACAGGUCUUCGGAUGCUGACGAGUGGCGAACGGGUGAGUAAUACAUCGGAACGUGCCUAGUAGUGGGGGAUAACUACUCGAAAGAGUAGCUAAUACCGCAUGAGAUCUACGGAUGAAAGCAGGGGACCUUCGGGCCUUGUGCUACUAGAGCGGCUGAUGGCAGAUUAGGUAGUUGGUGGGGUAAAGGCUUACCAAGCCUGCGAUCUGUAGCUGGUCUGAGAGGACGACCAGCCACACUGGGACUGAGACACGGCCCAGACUCCUACGGGAGGCAGCAGUGGGGAAUUUUGGACAAUGGGCGAAAGCCUGAUCCAGCAAUGCCGCGUGCAGGAUGAAGGCCCUCGGGUUGUAAACUGCUUUUGUACGGAACGAAAAGCCUGGGGCUAAUAUCCUCGGGUCAUGACGGUACCGUAAGAAUAAGCACCGGCUAACUACGUGCCAGCAGCCGCGGUAAUACGUAGGGUGCAAGCGUUAAUCGGAAUUACUGGGCGUAAAGCGUGCGCAGGCGGUUUUGUAAGACAGUGGUGAAAUCCCCGGGCUCAACCUGGGAACUGCCAUUGUGACUGCAAGGCUAAAGUGCGGCAUAGGGGGAUGGAAUUCCGCGUGUAGCAUGAAUUGCGUAAAUAUAGCG
rnacentral:rRNA from 1 species